AUUGAACGCUGGCGGCAUGCUUUACACAUGCAAGUCGAACGGCAGCGCGGGCUUCGGCCUGGGGGCGAGUGGCGAACGGGUGAGUAAUACAUCGGAACGUGCCCAGUAGUGGGGGAUAGCUCGGCGAAAGCCGGAUUAAUACCGCAUACGACCUGAGGGUGAAAGCGGGGGAUCUUCGGACCUCGCGCUAUUGGAGCGGCCGAUGGCAGAUUAGCUAGUUGGUGGGGUAAAGGCCUACCAAGGCGACGAUCUGUAGCUGGUCUGAGAGGACGACCAGCCACACUGGGACUGAGACACGGCCCAGACUCCUACGGGAGGCAGCAGUGGGGAAUUUUGGACAAUGGGCGAAAGCCUGAUCCAGCAAUGCCGCGUGUGUGAUGAAGGCCUUCGGGUUGUAAAGCACUUUUGGCGGGAAAGAAAAGGACCGUGCCAAUACCACGGUUCGAUGACGGUACCCGAAGAAUAAGCACCGGCUAACUACGUG
rnacentral:rRNA from 1 species